rnacentral:rRNA from 1 species
AUUGAACGCUGGCGGCAUGCUUAACACAUGCGAGUCGAACGGCAGCACGUUCUAGUUUACUAGAAGGGUGGCGAGUGGCGAACGGGUGAGUAACGCGUAGGAAUAUACCUUAGAGAGGGGGAUAACAUGGGGAAACUCAUGCUAAUACCGCAUACGUUCUUAGGAAUAAAGCUGGGGACCUUCGGGCCUGGCGCUUUAAG